GUCAUACGAGUCCACUCAACCCAACGCCACAUUGGAAUCAAACUCCCUUUGGAAAAUAUUCAACUCUCUCUCCUGCUGGGUCCCACCAAAAACCUUUCCCUCUGGGUCAAACCUGCGCUUCGCCUAUUCAGCAAAAUGAACUGAAACCGCGGCUGAGUAUUCCUAUUCAAAAUGUCAGGGAUGGAGAUCGUCAAACACAACCGUCAAGAAACUUAUUUCCUGAAGCAGAAGAUUACAACUUUUAAACAACAGCUGCCUCUUAACAACAGACAAAGAUCCUUCACGUCCUUGCGACUCUGCAAUCGCCCCCACACAACUUUCUCAUUCUCAAUAUAACAAGCAGCCAGAAAAUAGAAAGAGAAACAACCGAGCGUUGUGAAAAACCUUCUCCGAGUUUAUCACAAUCCGAAGCAAACCACAAACAAUCGAUGGCAUUUUCUUAUUCCAAUUUAACGCGAAUUCUGCAAACACUGGAAAUCACCUAAAGUGAGCGCUAUAAAGAACCGCUGAGAAAUAACUAGAGUCAACCCAAAAAUGACUAAUUGUUAGAAAAAGAACCUCUCUAGGGCUCCGAUUCAUGCGCGCGACGGCGAGCACUGGAAGACUAACCCAUUUUGUUGAUCUGGUUUUGUUGUGCCAGUGAGGCGACUCUAGAAUCUUCACCUUUCCUUUUUUGGGUUGAAUCUUUUGGUUGUACCUAGGCCAGCUAAUCGACGCGAGAAACCACUGCCCAUGAAUUUGCCACUUUCCAAUCAGAAACUCAAGGGACCGCCUGACGAACCACGCCGCCGCCGGCUGAUGGACCACUCCACCUCCGCCUUCGCCUUCCGAAGCGCUGCGGCAGGCUCCGUCGUCCGUCGGAGAAGGAGCAGCGCGACGAAGGGGCAGAACGAACGAGAAAAUAUUAGCUGCAGCUCGGAUGCAGCGGCGGCCGACGAGGCGGACGCGGAAGCGGCGGGGGCGGCGGCAGCGUGGUUCUUUGGACGGCAAGCUCCAUCGUCCGUCGCUGCGAGCGAAGGGUCGAGCGGCC
rnacentral:lncRNA from 1 species